CGAUGACACAAGAAAUCAAAAAUUUAAAAUCGUUUCGCGUAUGAGACGCUUUAUAAUUUUAUCAAUUUCUAACGAUGAUUUUUAGUAAACGAAAGUGUAUUUUCAGUAAAAGUCUGCGGCAUUAGUGUUAUUUCGCACACUGAUGUAUAUUGUUCAUUUAUUUCUUAAAUCUGUGACAAAAAGUUGAAACAUUCUCAUUUUGAUAGAGUGUGAACAAGUCCCUUUAACAUUGACAGCAAAUGUUUUGUUUUGGAAGUUAAAUUAAUACUGGCUAAAUUUGCAGGUGUGUUAUUGUUUUAAAUUGAGAUGGUGAACAGAUACUUCAUGAAUUAUAUGAAUCACCAGGGAAAGGACCCAACUACUUGCACAGAUGCAUCCUGGCGGGUGAAAGAAGGGAUGAUCACUUUGGCAACAGAUUGUUCAACUGCUUAAAUGUUGAUGUGGACUCAGUCAAAGAAUUUGCUGUAACUGUGUAUGUCUCUUCACUAUGUGGACAUAAAGUGCUACAGCUGGUUGGAGAUUAAGAUCACAAUGUACUGUUUUAAUGGAGAACAUCUGUGAAUAUUUAUUCUAACAAUGGAAAUUCAAACCUGAAUUAUUAUAAUUAGAAAACAUUUUCAUGUACAUGCUGGAAUUUUAUUUGAAGUGUAAAACUAAAAUAAUUUAGAAUUAUUUUUAAACACAAACACAGUUUUAUUAUAGAAAUAAUUGUAUAAACUUAAGAGAAAUCAGUGUUUAAGUGAUGCAUUUUAUUUAGUGUUUGACCUAUUUAACACCUUAACUAUGUUUUUUUAUGUUGAAUGUAAUGGUAAUAAAAAAAAACCAUAAGCUGACAUCCAAAGGGUUUUAACCUUAAAGGGAAUUGUUCACAGAUUCAGGCAUUUUUUAAAAGUAUGUCAGUAGAAGCCUUAAAUUGCUAGAUUUUAACCUCAAAAUAGAAUUUUAGAAGAGAUAAAAACACCAGAAAAAUAUUGGUAUCCAUGGGGGUCCUUAAAUUAUUUAACCUAUAACACUCGGCCAUCUUGAAUUUUAUAUUUAAGCAUUCAUUUUAUACUUGAUAUAUGUGACCCAUGUGAAAUAACAAAAUUUAACAGAAAAAACAGAAUCAUAAAAAAUUAUCCAAUCAUCACCCUGUUUAAUUGUAUCCAUUGCACAUGAUGAAUACUCAUAAAAAAGCUGUAUUUUCAGUUUGAGUCUACAUCAUUAGUGGCAUUUUGCUCCCUGAUUUACAGUACAUGUAUUCUUUUUUAUUUUGUAUCUGUUCCUUAAAUUUGGAAAAUGGUCAGUUUUACUAUCUGUGCACAAUUCCUUUUGAUCUUUAUUCUUAGUUUUGUGAUCAAUGGAAUGCCUAAUACCAUUUCAAUAGUAAAUGAGAUUACGGGUAAGUACUUGUUAAACAAUAAGGCCGUAAAACGUGCAA